rnacentral:rRNA from 1 species
AGUGAACGCUGGCGGCGUGCUUAACACAUGCAAGUCGAACGAGAGCGGGCUAUAGCUUGCUAUAGUUGUCAGCUAAGUGGCGCACGGGUGAGUAAUGUAUAGGUAAAUGCCUCUUACUAAGGGAUAACAAAUGGAAACGUUUGCUAAUACCUUAUACUCCUUAUUAACAGAAGUUAAUAAGGGAAAGAUUUAUUGGUAAGAGAUUAGCCUGUAUUGUAUCAGUUAGUUGGUGGGGUAAUGGCUCACCAAGACUAUGACACAUAACUGGUUUGAGAGGAUGAUCAGUCACACUGGAACUGAGACACGGUCCAGACUCCUACGGGAGGCAGCAGUGGGGAAUAUUGCACAAUGGACGAAAGUCUGAUGCAGCAACGCCGCGUGGAGGAUGACACACUUCGGUGCGUAAACUCCUUUUAUAUGAGAAGAUAAUGACGGUAUUAUAUGAAUAAGCACCGGCUAACUCCGUGCCAGCCGCCGCAGUAA